rnacentral:lncRNA from 10 species
AAAGCCGGAGGAUAUUCAGAUUCUUUCCAGUAUCCCCAACUCUCCUGGAGGUGAAGGACUAAGGGGGUGGGGGCAUGGCUCUCAGACUCCAGACUGACAACCUAAUAUUGAGGCUGGGCUGGGAGUGGAACCGAGAUUUCCCAGCCUGAGGCCAAUGGAUGACAAGGGCCUUUCUUGUUCUCCUCCAGAGCCUCUUCUGGAGCCCCACUAGGGAAUUCCUGUCCUUGGAAAAGUGGGAGAGGACCAGAACAUUCUGGAAUAAAGACUGGAGACAUUCAGAGUGACGCAAGAAGUACAGUCCACAGUGGAGGAAAACUCCAGCUGCCAGGCAAUUGCCCGCUGGUCCCUGGCCUGGUCUAGGUGGUUGUGGGGGAAGGGGAGCUAACUGCAGUGACUCACUUAACCCUUUCCGGGCAGAGGAAGAUAACGCUUUUUAAUUGAAGAAAUUUUUUAAUUAAAAAACAUUUUUUUGACGGCUUCUUGUUGAGCAGGGCUACCCCACAGGCCAUGUGCCUAGAGUGGCCUUAAUUGAAAUUUUUGUUACAAUCAUUGUAGAUUCCUGUACAGUUAUAAGAAAUAAAACAGCCGGGCGUGGUGGCUCAUGCCUGUAAUCCCAGCACUAUGGGAGGCCGAGACGGGCGGAUGACGAGGUCAGGAGAUUGAGACCAUCCUGGCUAACACGGUGAAGCCCCGCCUCUACUAAAAAUACAAAAAAUUAGACGGGCGAGGUGGCGGGCGCCUGUAGUCCCAGCUACUCGGGAGGCUGAGGCAGGAGAAUGGUGUGAACCCAGGAGGCGGAGCUUGCAGUGAGCCAAUAUCGUGCCACUGCACUCCAGCCUGGGCGACAGAGCGUCUCCAAAAAAAAAAAAAAAAAAAGAAGAAAUAAAACAGAGAGGCUGGGCACAGUGGCUCACGCGUGUAAUCCCAGCACUUUGGGAGGCCGAGGCAGGUGGAUCACCCAGCCUGGGCAACAAGAGGGAAACUUCAUCUCAAAAUAACAACAACAACAAAAAAGAAAACAGAGGGAUCCCAGGUACCCGCCUUCACUCAGUUUCCCCAAUGGUAACAUCUCGCAGAACUACUGGGCGCCAUCACAGCCGGGGUCUGACUGCUCUUGCUCAGGUUUCCCCGGUUUUCCGUAUCCUCACGUGUGUGUAUUUACUUCUGUGCAAUUUUAUCGCAGGCCAAGGCAGGCGGAUCACCUGAGCUCAGGAGUUUGAGACCAGCCUGGGCAACAUGGUGAAACCCUGUCUCUACAAAAAAUACAAAAAUUAGCCGGACACGGUGGCACGUGCCUGUAGCCCCAGCUCCUUGAGGGUCUGAGAUGGGAGGAUCACUUGAGCCCAGGAGGUGGAGGUUGCAGUGAGCCCAUAUUGCGCCACUGUACUCCAGCCUGGGUGACAGGGCGAGACCCUGUCUCAAAAACAAAAACAAAUAAACAGAAUGAGAGUAUGCAACCUUUUGGGACUGGCUUUUCCCCUCAGCAGACACCACUUUUCUUGAGCACCUUGAUCUCAUAGUCCCAGGGACGGCUUCUGUUAUUCCCAUUUUACAGCUGAGCAAACUGCUCCCCAACGCCCAACCCCCAGAGCCAGCGCUCAUGAUGGCUAAUUUGGGGAGCAUCUCCUCCAGGAGAGGAGGGCAGGGGGUUGGGCGGAGGGCUGGGGCCAGAGCCUUCCCCAGCCCUGCUGAGACCCAGCUCCCUCUUCUGCAGCCUGUCUCAGAGCGGGGUCUCCUUUGUGCCUCCCACCCGCUCCCCAGGCCCGUCUUUUCCCUCAGCAGAGAGGCAGUGAAUGGGGGCCGCUGGGGGCCGAAUCUGCUGGCCCGAGGCCCAGCUUGGCCACAGAGAGGCUGUGUGACUAGCACGGUGGCCCCAUCCUCUGAGCCUCAGGAUCCCCCUGGGUAAAACAGGGGGAAGGGUCACACCCUGCAAAUCCAUGAAGAUGCAAUGAGGCAACGUGUGAGGCGCAGUCAGCGAAGUGCCAGGCGCAGAGUGAGCCCCCAGCGCACGCCGCGGAGAGCCGCCCGCAGCCCCAUUUGGCAAUGAAUUAUGUAUGGCCUUCUGGCAGCCCUGCGUGUGGGGCUGCAAGCUCCCUCUGCUCCCCCCUGCUUCUCUUUCCGGUGAGGGGCGCAGGCUCCCCCGGGGGGGUGGGCAGUGUUCUUUGUCUCUCCUGCAGGGACCCCCUAUCAGCUUCCCAAGGCUAGUGCCUCAGUGCCCAGGAUGCCCAUUUCACAGGCUGGAGAACCAAGGGCUGGUAUAGCUCAGGGUCUUUUUCAACAGACACUAAUAACAAUAAUAGAGCGCCACCAGUAACAAUAAUAAUCACCAUCGUACCUGCUGGGCUUUGUUUUUCUGUGUGUGCCAGACACAUUUAACAGAAAAUCCUUCAUCCAACAAAAAUGUCCACCUGUGCAG